ACUAAGGACAAGUUCCAUUCGGGUAAAAAUAGGAAAUUAAAACUAAAGAGGACGGGCGAAUCUUGUUUGUUCGCUCGUGAGCUUUGUUCAGUAAGCAUACGGAAUUUCAACAAUCACUAGUAUCACAUUUAUGGAGUUUGGAAUGGAAAUAAUCAGUGGUGUUGCUAAUCAAAUCCAAAGCGCAGAAUAAAGAAAGGCUACUCAGGCAGUGAAGGGCCUUUGAUUUUAAAAAAAAUGCAGUUUCGCUUUUAAAUUAAAAUUAAUGUAGGAAAGAAUAAUAAAGAGGACGAAUCUUGUUCGUUUGCCCGUAGCUUUCGGACACUAAUUAAUAAGCAAUCAACAGAAAUAUAGCUUGGGAAAAAACGUUGGGAAUCUACCCAACAUCAGGUAAUAAGAAAACCGAUACGCUACAAUAGAGAAAUAAUCAAUAAGAAGAAUAAAGUGACACUAGGUAAGUAGCCAUGGGUAUAUAGCUACCACUGCCGCGUUUUUAGGCUGCCGCCUUCUCUAUAGACCUCGGAUAUCCAAUUUACGCUUGACUAACUAGAACACCGAAACCACCACUUAUGUGACACAGACCAGCGUGAGCUCGACUGUGCAUAACGUUCU